CAUGUCCUUUCGAGUAUAAUUUAAGGUCUGAUCUGCUCAAUGAAUGUAAAAUAGCCGCAGUAUUUUGACUGUGCAAAGGUAGCAUAAUAAUUAGUCUCUUGAUUAGAGACUGGAAUGAAAGAUUGGACAAGAAAAUUACUGUCUCUUUCUUAAUAUUUUUGAAUUUUAUUUUUAAGUGAAAAAGCUUAAAUUUUUAUAAAAGACGAGAAAACCCUACAGAGUUUAAUAUUUCAAUGUAAUUGAAUGUUAGAAUAAUUAUUUAUUUGAUUGGGGUGAAUGAAAGAUUAAAAAAAUUCUUUUAUAAAUUAUAUUGAAGAUUAUCAAUUUUAUUAUCUAUUAUUUGUAAAUAUAAAAUAAAUUACCUUAGGGAUAACAGCGUAAUUUUUCUUUAAAGUUCUUAUUGUAAGAAAAGUUUGAGACCUCGAUGUUGGAUUAAAAUUAAUUUUUGGUGCAAUAGCUGAAAAAUUGGGUCUGUUCGACCUUUAAAAUUUUACAUGAUCUACGUUUAAACCGGUGUGAGCCAGGUUGGAUUCUAUCUUUAAAUAAUAUAUUAAAUUUUAGUACGAAAGGACCAAAUAUAGAUUAAAUUAAUUG
rnacentral:rRNA from 1 species